rnacentral:lncRNA from 1 species
ACAGUUUGAGAUUGCUUGAUCGCUAUGCCACCCUGAGUAAAUGAGGAAUCUGAUGAUGGCAUGUUUGUUGAUAUACCUACACCUCUUGUUUGGCUCUAUGAUUGCUUAGAAUAGGUUGCAAAACCUAGACCGGCUAAUGAACUUAAAACUGGAGCUAAAACUGGAAAAUAAGGUUUUACUUAGUGCUUUGGCAAACAAACCCCUCAGCCAAAAGCCUUGCAUGUCUAGAAGUGUGGAGUAGCUUACUCCUAUCGGUUAAGUCUUGUUGAGCUUAGUAGCUCAGCCUUGUUGUGGCUCCUGUUUUUCAGGUGAAGUUGCUGCUCCCAACCCCUCUCUUGCUGGCGCUUGGCCGCCCCAGCUCCCGCCGGGCUGGACGGUCGAGUGGGACCCCUCCUCGAACGGCGAGGAGAGGAACCUGUGACGUCCCGGUUGGCCUCACCAGGGAUGUCCGACCCCGACGAUUUCUUCCGCUAGUGGUUUUAUCUUUUGCUGUUUUCCUUGGAACCCUGUAAAACUCUGAUGUUGGAUUUUAUGGCCGAGCUAAAUGGGUAAACUUGUUUAACUCAGUGGACUCGUUGUAUUCUCUGGAACCACUCACCUUCGUGUGGGUUUGCUAGACUCGAUCCUGUUCAAGUGGUUAAAUCGGAUGAAAUCCGACGGCAUUUCGUGUUAACUUGGUUUAGGCAGGAGUGUCGCAUGUUAAGCGGCUUAACCCUGCUUAAUCAAGCUAAUCUAAAGUGGAUCCGCCACAGCUGGUAUCAGAGUCGUGUUUAGCAUUUCAGAGAACACAACAAGCCCUAAACACUUCUUUGAAAAGAUAAAAGUUGCAAGAAACUUUUGAAAAAUCUCGUACGAUCGUUAAGGAUGGCUUUAGUGCGAGAGGCCCUAGGGGAUUUUGGGGUUGUUUUAGGUGACUAAUAAUUACUUGGUUAUUUUGCUAAUCCCUCCAGCACUUCGCCAUGUUUGUCAUACGUGUGCCGAGUUCCGCAUCACGAGCAUGCGAAGGUUGAUAGGGAGUUCUAUUCAAAGGACCCUAUCCUCGUGGUUGUUUUCGCCCACGUCUAUCACACGUGCGCAGGUUCCGUAUGAACUCCAUACGAAGGUUGGUACGGUUUGAUUCCAACGAACCUAUCAGCACGGUUGGUUCGCCACGUUUGUCAUACGUGUGCCGAUUCCGCAUCACGAGUAUGCGAAGGGUUAUAUGGUUCCAUUCAAAGGGAACCUAUUUCCACGGUUGAGUGCUGUCCAUGCAGCCUUAAACGCAUGGGUGUCGUUCCUAUAGUGAGCGGUAAUGUUUGGGAACGCUUUCGUGGGUGCUGGCACGAAAGGUUCGUGUGUUGGUGUUUUUUCUGCAGGUACGCUAACCGCGUUCGUUUAGGAGAUGUUGUAGAAUCGACUAGUUACUAUAGGGAGAGACGUAAUUGUUGCCUUGUCACCAGCACUGACCGCGUAAGACCCGAGUUCGGGCAGUUGUUUUUGGUUAUGUGUAAGGUAGGCCGUGCAUGCGUCAUAAUUAAAAAGCUGUAAGGUUUCCUUCUCAACAGCAAUCUCGUUCAGAAGAGUUCUUUUGGAUCUAAGGAUUUCUAGUUUCUUUUAGUUGCUCUCGGUCAAAACCGUAUGCUUCUUUGUCCGACCCCUGAUCCUUGGAGUCUAUCUCACGUGGUUUCGGUUUCUUGGUUCCAGAUGGCUGUUCCCGGGCAUGUUCUUUUUGGAGCGGACGGUACUUUCCAAUCGACGUGUCUACAUUUCGAGGGAUUUCCUGCGAUUCUGUGGGAUACGUUGAAGUGGUUUGGGUACCAGUCCCCGCCCUUGUACGCCGGACGGUUAUAUCUGGAGCAGGGUAUCCAGACGUGCCAAGUGCAGGCGGUGGUACCUCCUCCCCCUGCUCGGCUUGACUGGCCCUCUUUCGGCAUUAUAGCCUAUGGCCUCGCUCCUGAGGAUACAUGGGAUUCUGCCGCCCUUCAGCUUCUCACCCAGUUCUGUCAGUUGCACCCCUUGGAGAUCACGCUCGACCCGAUCGGCCUUUUUCCCGUCAGGAACCGGCUGGACCCGGCAUGGCUUGACCGCGUCGGGAACAUUGAAGUGCUAGCCACCACAUGCGCCAUGGUCACCAUCUCCACCAAUAUAAGGUGCAUGGCGGCUCUUUACCGGCUGAUAGAGCUUCAGGGAAGAGCCAUGACCCUCUUCGCCCGGACAGCAGCAGAUGUUCAGAGGUACCUCCAAGCGACACGAAGAGAUAUGGUAGGCCAAACCUACCAGCUUAUUCAACGGGGUAUCCAGAUUCACGACAUGCAAGACCAGAUCUCCGAGCUUGAGGGAGAAGUCGCCGACCUAGUGGACGGCAUGAUAGAGCUAUUGGAGGAGAAGAUGGAGAUGGAAAUGGAGUUAGCAGUUGCCAAUGCCUAUCUAGAGGAGCAUCAAGCUGAGCUCGAUGAUAUGCAUGCCCUCAACAUGCAGCUCGAAGCUCAGGAGGACCCUGAGGAAGAUGAAGGAGCGUCCAGCAUGGAUAUCGAGGAAGAUGGCGCCCCUUCUCCUACUCAUAGUGUCCAUUGGUAGAUUGCGGGUUCUCAGGGGAUCAUUCUUUUGUUGUACUCCUCGGCAGCGUAAAUUUUGGAAAGGUUGUAAUAGGUUAGCCUAGAGUCGAGUACUCCCUGUGAUUGGAACAUCGUUGUAUAUAAAGUUAAUUCUGGUGCCUGGCUUUUUUUUCAUCUUUGUAUGGUGUGGAUGCUAGGCUAAGUAAGUUGUGCCAUGACCAUAUGCUGUUUUCGGGAACCUGUUCUGUUGGCCGACCCUAGUUGGUGAGACCGAGUGCGCCGACCCUUGAGGCAGUUUCCGCCCCGUCUGACCUUUUUAAGUAGGGAUCAUUGCCGACCCCUUUUUCUCGGGAGGAUCGCCUAGCCCAACCCCUUGGCUUGAGUUGGAUCAUAGGAGUCUGUAUAUGACCUGUUUUGCCUGAAGUUGAGUACCAGGUCAAAAUAAAUGUUAUCUACUCUGAGAAUGAGAAAAGUGUGUUUUCCCUAUGAGGACGUGUGUUGCACCAUUGGCAAGAGUCGCAUUGAAGGAAUUAAUUUAUACGUUCCAUUUGUUGGAGUACACCUAAGGUUAUGAAAUUGAUGGAGCAUUAACUCUUGCAGAUGGCGCACCGCACCAGGUCUGGUUCUGUGCCCGGCAGUAGCGAUCAGCGACAGGAUCUUCCCCCGCCCCCGCCCUCAUCGCCACUGGAGGCAAUCCUAGCAACUCAAACUGAGCUGCUAAGGCAUCUGGUACAAGGGCAACAGCAACAGCCACAUGGUGGAAGAGCCCAGCAGCAGCCGCAUAUCGCUCGGUAUGAGGACUUUCUGGGGACACAACCCCCUUUGUUCCAAAAGACACAAGAACCGCUCGAUGCUGACGCCUGGGUUCGUACGAUCGAAUCCAAGUUUGAGCUUCUCACUGCUCCAUGCCCCGACAACAACAAGGCUCGGUUUGCAGCCCAACAGCUGCAUGGCUCCGCACGGCUUUGGUGGGAUCACUACCAUGCCAUGCUACCGGCUGGCCAUGUAGUCAGUUGGAAUGAGUUCAAGACGGCGUUCAAGGCGCAUCACAUUCCAGAAGGUCUCUUGGAGCGCAAGCUCAACGAGUUUCUGGCCCUUACCCAAGGAACCCGAGAUGUGCUGCAUUACGCUCAAGCUUUCAACGACCUGUGCUGUUAUGCCGGCUACCAUGCGGACACGGACGAGAAGAAGCGGGACAGAUUCCACCAAGGACUGAGCUUGGAGCUCAGGGAAAGGUUGAACCCCAUCAAGGUGGACACCUACAAUGAGUUGGUCAACCUGGCCAUCUCUCAAGAAGACUGCAUGCAAGCUCUCAAGGCCGACCAGAAGAGGAAAGCCUCUGUGGCAUUUCCGAGUCAGCCGACUCGAAGGUUCCGGAUGGUUCCUCCACAAGCCCCUGGCCGACCCCAGCAGUCAGGAAGGUGGAUUGCUCGACCCCCGCCAGUAACAGCGCCUCGUUUUCCAGGCUUCCAACCGCAGGUGCCCCGGCCGACCCUACCAACACCACCCCGCCCGGCAGCCAGUAACCGUUGUUUUCCUGCGGCAAUGAAGGGCACUUUGCAAAGGACUGCCCCAGGAACAAGAAUCAACAGCAAGGUCAGAACCCCAUGGCAACCAGAGGAAGAAGGCCCAAGGUGCAAGUCCGACAAGGCCGACUCAACUACACCAGCUUGACCGAGCUCCCCGAAGGUGCGCCAGUAAUGACGGGUACUUUCCUCGUUUUAAAUCAAGAUGUUGUUGUGUUGUUUGAUUCGGGAGCCUCUCAUAGCUUUAUCGGGAGUAAGGCUAGGGAAAGAUGUGAGCUGGAUCUCGGUCACACUAAGGAACCUUAUGUGAUCGCCACUCCUGGAGGGAGGAUAACAUCGGAUCAGAUUGUUAUUCUUGUACCUCUCCAGCUAGGCCCCACCCUCUUCAAGGAAAACCUUAUCAUCCUUGACCUAGAAGGCAUAGAUGUCAUCCUUGGUAUGGAGUGGAUGGCCCGACAUCAUGUGGUUCUAGAUACAUCAGCCCGAUCCCUCUGCAUCAGUUCACCCUCCCAUGGCAGUUCUACCAUAUCCUUGACCCAUCCUGAGUCUGCGCUUUCUUGUGCCUACCCCCUAUCGGGAGCCCGUCUAAAAGACCUCCCUGUUAUCUGUGAGUACCCUGACGUGUUUCCGGAGGAUUUGCCAGGUAUGCCACCUGAUAGAGAAGUGGAGUUUUCCAUAGAGUUGAUUCCUAGCACAGCCCCUAUAUCUAAGAGACCCUAUCGGAUGCCACCCGCUGAGUUAGCCGAGUUGAAGACCCAGUUGCAUGAUCUGUUGGAAAAAGGCUUCAUCCGACCCAGUACAUCAUCUUGGGGUUGCCCUGCCCUGUUUGUGAAGAAGAAGGAUGGCAGUCUACGUAUGUGUGUGGAUUACCGACCCCUCAAUGCUGUGACCAUCAAGAACAAGUAUCCACUGCCACGCAUUGAUGUCUUGUUUGAUCAGUUAGCUAGAGCAAAAGUGUUCUCCAAGAUCGAUCUUCGUUCUGGUUAUCACCAAAUCGAGAUCCGACCCUGCGACAUACCCAAAGCAGCUUUCUCUACCAGAUAUGGACUGUACGAGUACCUAGUCAUGUCCUUUGGACUCACCAAUGCACCCGCUUAUUUCAUGUACCUCAUGAACUCGGUAUUCAUGCCCGAGCUGGACAAGUUUGUAGUGGUGUUCAUUGAUGAUAUUCUAGUGUACUCGAAGAACGAAGAAGAGCAUGCCGACCAUCUUCAUAUAGUUCUCCAACGGCUAAGAGAUCACCAACUCUAUGCCAAGUUCUCCACAAGUGUGAGUUCUGGUUGGAUAGUGUCAAGUUUUUGGGACACACUAUCUCUAAGGAUGGUAUUGCCGUUGACCCCAGUAAGGUGCAGGAAGUCAUGGAAUGGAAGCCAUCUGCCUCAAUGCACCAGAUCAGAAGUUUCCUUGGACUGGCUGGCUACUAUCGGCGUUUCAUACCGGAUUUCUCUAAGAUAGCUAAGCCGAUGACCGAGUUGUUGAAGAAAGAGGUCAAAUUUGUGUGGGAUAACAAGUGUGAAGAAGACCCCUGCAGUUCGACCUUGGUGAUCAUGUGUACCUUCGAGUCUCCCCGACCAAAGGAGUACAACGGUUUGGAGUCAAAGGCAAGUUAGCUCCCCGUUAUGUUGGCCCUUAUGAGAUUGUGGAGAUAUGUGGACCCGUUGCUUACCAGAUCCAACUCCCACAACAGUUAUCGGCCAUACACGAUGUUUUCCACGUAUCUCAACUGAAGAAAUGUGUCCGAGUUCCAGCAGAGAUCUUAGAGCAAGAACAGCUUCAGGUAGAGCCCGACCUGACCUACGCCGAGUACCCAGAUCGAGUUCUUGACCAGAAGGAAAGGCACACCCGACGCCAAGUGGUAAAGAUGUACAAGAUCCUCUGGAGAAACCACACCAAAGAUGAAGCAACAUGGGAAACGGACGAAUAUCUGAACAAGCGCUUUCCAAGUUUUCUAUCUCAUCUAGGAGGUAAAAACGUCACCCGCUUUUGAUGCCUAAAUCUCGGAACGAGAUUCUUUUUAAGAGGGGUAGGCUGUGACGACUGACCCCUAAACCUUCCAAGUUAAUCUCAAUUGGAGCCCUUGAUCAUAGUCAUCUGUCUUGUUUUACCGCGCCGAGUGCUCAGCUUUCCGCCCGGUUCCGACCCCGGAAGACCCGACCCCUUCCCGUUUCGCUCCUCUCUCGACCCCGGCGAGCUCAGCCCACCGUCGGAUCCUUCUAAAUCUUCCUCAACGUCCGUUCUAUCCGCCCGGUGGACCCGCGAGAUCUUUUUCCCCAGAUCCUCCGCGACAGGCGCACUCGAGUUGCAUGCCCGCUUCAGAGUCUCCCUACCGCGUGGCUCGUCUUCUCCGACGCCCGCUGCGCAGUUUUGUCUCUGGCUCGCGACCAAGUGGGUUCUCGCGCCCCCUUCCUUAAUGGCAGCGGAAGCCCCUCUGCACCCUUUCUGCAGAACCUCACCUCCCGCGCCCAUCAUCACGCCGCCAGAUCCCGGCCCCAGAGCCCGAUGUCACCCGUCUUUUCCGUCACUUCAAAUCUUCCGCACGGCGACGCCCGCUUUCCGCCAAAUCUCAACCACCGGUCUACCCGCUCCUACGCCGCCCUGACGGCAGAGCCCAAUGACUGCUGGCGUCACCCCCGGAGUCCUGCACCACCGCCCUCUUCGCUCAAUCGCCGCCCCGGCAGAGCACUCCAUUGCUUCUCCCCGGCCUUCACGCCGCUCCCCUUCUCUCUCUCCCGCGCCGCUUCCUUCUCAGUUCCAGCGGCUAUAAAAGGAAUGCGCCAGCCGCCGGAGUUCCCUCCGCCAUUGUUGCCUUAGCCAUUCUCUCGCUCCCUGCUCAAGCUCCUAGCGCCACCCACCAAGUUCUUGAGGAGUUCUGCUCUCAGAUUCUCUCUCAGUUUUCUCCAAGUCACCCAGCCGCUUGCUCCUCCUUGCUGCGUAAAAGCUCUCUUGUGAUCUGCAAGAAGCACCGCCGCCGCCGUAGCAUUCCCAGUCUUAGCCGUUGUUCAAGCUUUAGUUUCCCCGCCCAAGUCUGCUUCUUCCCGACCCCAAGCUUUCCUUUCAGGAAGAAGGUGAGUUGCCGACCCCAGUCCGCUUCGCCCGACCCCUCCUAUCCGCCCGACCCCGGUUCCGUCUCGCCCGACCCUGUCUGUUCCGCCGACCUUUAUCCGCCUCGCCCGAGGGUUCGGCUGUGAUCUUUUUCUUCAACCCGAGGGUGUAUGUGUAAAACUUAGGAACCCUCCAGCGCUUGCGUACGAGGACCCCUAGUACAUGACAUUCUCUAGUUCAAGGAUCAGAUCAUAAGUUCCUUUCCGACCCUUGCCUCUUGAUCAUCACCAGCUCUCUUGAACCUCCAUACCCUCCUGCUCUUUGUCGCGAGUUUCUGGGCUCACGUGAGCUAGUGUUGCUGUUGAAAUAACCGUCUAUGCUAACUUUGCAUUGCAUUCGUGUAGAGCUGCACCUCGCCGACGGCUUCCACGAGCUGCACCCAGCACCAAAAGGAGAAGGUGUAGCCGAGCUCCUGCCCGCCGAAGCCGAAGUCGCCCCAGAAGUCGAGCAGUUUCCUUCCUCUUUGCUCGAAGGCAAGCCCCGGUUGCAUGAAAACCCAUGUGUUUUAUCAGACUUGCGCAUGCCUUCUGUAACAUGCUUGUGCAUUUACGUAUAGGAGUUGUUUGAAACUCCUAGAUGCAUGACCUAGUUAUCCCCAUGAUCUGAGCACUAGCUGUUGGACCGAGUAGUUGCCCUGCUUAACUAGGAGACGGUAAAAGUCGAGUGAUCUCCUGUCACUCGCGAGUUGUAGGAGUUGUAUGUUUACUCUCCUGUUAUAACUAUAAGGACGAUGGACGGGGCAGGGUUUUGGUAACUCUUUGGUGGACGGAUGGUUGCCCCGUCUGUCUAUGAAAACUUGCUAAGGCCCGACAGUGGUGGUGUUCGUGAUCAAGUGUUUGAAAGUACUAGCCUGAUACUUAGUAUGGGAUGAGGAAGCCUAGUACCGGAUUGAACCUAGACGUGAGCGGUCACCCCAUUGUUCUUGGAACGGAGUUUCCCCUGCUAGUUGUCGCACGUGGUGGCAAGCGUGGUCACAGGACGGCAGAGGCCGGGUCUGUGGAACCUUGCACCAAAGGAAAUGGGCCCGACACGGGUUAGGGGAUUGAUGGGGAAGGCCGACACAGGAAGCGACCUCCGGGUGCGCGGAUGUCGUGAGGCUAGGUUCACCAUGCAUGGUUAAAGAACUCGAAUCGAUUCGUCUGCCUCUCACAGUUUGAGAUUGCUUGAUCGCUAUGUCACCCUUCACAUAAUUGCAAAUCAAUUCAAGUAGCCUUUAAUGGAUAUUCAAUGAACACAAUAUAUAAAUCAUGGAUACAAAUGGAAUAUCAUCAUCUCUAUGAUUGCCUCUAGGGCAUACCUCCAACACAUCUAUGGUUUCAAACAACUCCUAUACGUAAAUGCACAAGCAUGCUUAAAGAAGGCAUGCGCAAGUUUGGUAAAACACAGGGGAUUUAUGCAUCCGGGGCUUGCCUUCGAACAAGGAGGAGCGAAGCUGCUCUUCUGCUUGGGCGGCUUCGGCUUCUAGAGGCAGGAGCUCGGCUACACCUUCGUCUUCUGGUGUCGGGUGCAGCUCGUAGAAGCCGUCGGCGAGACGCAGCUCUACACGAAUGCAAUGCAUUGGUUAGCAUUUAGAUGGUUAUUUCAAUAGCAACACUUGCAAGUUUGAGCCCAGAAACUUGCAGCAAGUUACCGGAGGGUGGGGAGGUUUGCUUGAGUUGGUGGAAAUGAAGAUAUAAGGGUCGGAUGGGAAGGAACUGAUGAUCUAACCCUUAAUCUAGAGGAAUAGAUGUGCUAGGGGUCCUCAGACUUAACGCUGAAAAGUCCCCAAGUUUUACACAUACACCCUCAGUUCAAAGAAAAAGAUAUAGCUGAGCCCUCGGGCGAGGCGGAGAAAGGUCGGCGGAACAGACAGGGUCGGGCGAGAUGGAAUCAGGGUUGGGCGGAUAGGAGGGGUCGGACGAGGCGAACAAGGGUCGGUAGCUUACCUUCAUCUUACAGAUGAGGCUUGGUGUCGGGAAAGAACAGGCUUGGGCAGAAAGACUAAGGCUUGGGACCACGGCGAGGAUGUCCGGUGGUACUCCAGCGGCGGCGGUGCUUCUUGUGGACCACAAGCAACCUCUUGUGCAGCACGGGGAGCAGUGGCUGGUGGAUUAGGGAAGGUGGUGUUUGAGUGGAGAGGAGAGUUCCUCAGACUUAGGCGGUGGCGCUGUGAGCACAAACAGGGAGCAAGCGGGAGGGCAGCGAUGGCGAAGGGGAACUCCGGCGGGGCUCCAGCAUUCCCUUUUAUAGCUGCACGGAAGAGAGAAGGGGGAGCGGCGCAAGGACCGGGGAAGAAACGAGGGAGUGCGCUGCCGGGGCGGCGAUUGAGCGACGAGGGCGGUGGAGCAGGACUUCGGGGAUGACACCGGCGGUCAUUGGGCACCGAUGAAAGGGCGGCGCAGGCGCGGGUUUGCCGGUGGUUGAGACUUGGCGGAGGCGGGCGUCGUUGUGCGGUGGAUCUGAUGGAAGUGACCGGGGAAAUGGCGCUAGAAACGAGGGCGCACAGGUGAGAAGACAGGCAGCUGCGGUCGCGCGGGCGAGCGCGGAGCAACAGAUUAUCAGGGCGGAGCUUCUGACAAGGCAGAAAAGGAGCUGUCGCUGCCGUGGUCUGGGUUGGUGGAGGAGGAAUCAUCUCGUAGCGAGGACCGGGGCGGCGCGACUGUGGAGGGGCGACAGAAAAGACGGGUGGCAUCGGGCUCUGCAGCCAGGAUCUGGUGAUGUGAUGAUGGGCGCGGGCGGCGAGGUGCUACAAAAAGGGUAGCAGAGGAGCUUCCGCUGCGAUUGCGGAAGGGGGCGCAAGAAUCCAUCCGGUCGUGGCCGGCGACAAGGCGAAGUGGCGGGCGUCGGAGGAGUUGAGCCACGCGGCUAGGGAACUCUGAAGCGGGCAUGCAACUCGAGUGCGCCUGUCGUGGGAGAUCUGGGAGAAAAGAUCUCGUGGGUCCACCGGUCAGUCUCGGUGGUCCACGGCUCAGAUUGAAGGGAGGCGUUGUGGGAGGACUUAGAAAGAUCCGGCGGUGGGUUGGGGUCGGUGGGGUCGGAACUGGGGAAAACACGAUGAGGGGUCAGAUCACAGGGGUCGAGACCGAACUGGAGGUUGAACACUUAGACUUGGUAAACUGAGACAGGGGAUCAGGGACUCGGAUUAAGAUUAACGCGAAGGAUUUUAACCGAGGUCGUUACAGCCUACCCCCCUUAAGAAGAUGUGGCGGAUCCACUUCGGAUUUACUUGGUUAAACAUAAUUAGGCCGCAUGAUACGCGACGCUCAUGCCUAAACCGAGUAAACACGAAGUGCCGUCGGAUUUCAUCCGAUUUAACCACUUGAACGGGACCAAUUAGCAGACCCACACAAAGGUGAGCGGUUCCAGAGAAUACAACAAGUCCACCGAGUUAACAAAUUAAACUAUUUAGUUUGACCAUAAAACAACAUCAGAGUUUACAAGGUUCCGAAGAAAAACAACAGAAGGUAAAACAACUAGCGGAAGCUAACUCGUCGGGGUCGGACAUCCCUGGUGAGGCCCACCAGGACAUCAGUGAUCCCUCUCCUCGCCGUCCGAGGAGGGAUCCCACUCAACCGUCCAACCCGGAGGGAGUUGGGGCGGCCAAGUACCAGCAGAGGGAGGCUCAGAGGCCGCAACUUCACCUGAAAAAGAAGAGCCACAACAAGGCUGAGCUACUAAGCUCAACAAGACUUAACCGACAGGGAGCGCGCUAAACUACCUCUUUUAGACAUGCAAGGCUUUUUGGCUGAGGGGUUUGUUUUGCCAAAAGCGCUAGGCAUAUCCCUACUUUCAAGUUUCAGCUCAAGUUCUAAGUUCAUUAUCCAGUCUAAGUUAGCAACUUGUUCUAAGCAAACAUAGAACCAACCAAAGGGUGUAAAUAGCAUCAAUAGAACCAUGUCAUCAUCAGAUUCCUUAUUUACUCAGGGUGACAUAGCGAUCAAGCAGUCUCAAACUGUGAGAGGCAGACGAAUCGAUUCGAAUUUCUUAACCAUGCAUGGCGAACCUAAUCUCACGACAUCCGCGCACCACAAGGGCCGCUUCCUGUGUCGGCCGUCCCCAUCAAUUCCCAGGCGCGUGUCAAGUCCAAACUUUCCUUGGCAUGCAAUGCUCCACAGUCCCGGCCCCUACCGUACUGUGACCGCACUUGCACCCACAUGAUGCACCAUAGGAACCUCGUUCCAGGGACAGCAGGGGUAUAAGCCAUGCCCUAGUUCAAUCAGGUACUAGGCUUCCCCAUCCCAUACUAGGUAUGAGAUUAGUACUUUCAAACACUUGAUCAUGAACACCACCACUGUCGGGCCUUAGCAAGUUUUACAGACAGACAGGGCGAUCAACCGACCACCAAAGAGUUACCCAAAACCCUACCCCGUCCAUCGUCCUUAUAGUUGUAAUAGAAGAGGAAAAAACCAACUCCUAUAGCUCGCGAGUGACAGGACAUCACUCGGCUUUUACCGUUUCCUAUUUAAGCAAAGCAUCUACUCGGUCCAACAGCUAGUGUUCAGAUCAAAGGAAAACUAAGUCAUGCAUCUACGGUUCCAAACAACUCCUAUACAUAAAUGCACAAGCAUGUUCAAGAAGGCAUGUGCAAGUCUGGUAAAACAUAGGGGAUUCAUGCAUCCGGGGCUUGCCUUUAAGCAAGGAGGAGGGAAACUGCUCGUCUGCUUGGGCAGCUUCGGCUUCUGGAGGCAGGAGCUCGGCUACACCUUCUUCUUCUGGCGCCGGGUGCAUCUCGUAGUAGCCAUCGGCAAGACGCAGCUCUACAUGAAUGCAAUGCAUUGGUUAGUAUUUAGACGGUUAUUUCAAUAGCAACACUUGCAAGUUUGAGCCCAGAAACUUGCGGCAAGUUACAGGAGGGUGGGGAGGUUCAAUGGGGUCGAUGGAGAUCAAGGUAUAAGGGUCGGAUGGGGAGGAACUUAUGAUCAGACCCUUAAACUAGAGGAAUAGAUGUGCUAGGGGUCCUCAGACUUAACACUGAAAAGUCCCCAAGUUUUACACAUAUACCCUCGGUUCAAGGAAAAAGAUACAGCCGAGCCUUCGGGCGAGGUGGAGAAGGGUCGGCGGAACAGACAGGGUCGGGCGAGACGGAACCGGGGUCGGGCGGAUAGGAGGGGUCGGACGAGGCGAACAAGGGUCGGCAGCUUACCUUCGUCUUAUAGAGAAGGCUUGGGCAGAAGGACUAAGGUGAUGAGGACAUCAACACCAACGAUACAUCCACACCUACACAAGUACCAGUUUCUGGUCCGAUAACUCGCGCCCGUGCUCGUCAACUUAAUCAUCAAGUAAGUUCACUCUUGAGUUCCUGUCCAUCCUAUUUAGACCAUGGAGACGCGUGCACUCUUGUUUUGGUUAGGAAUCAUGGAGAAGACCGAGAGGGAAACGGACUCGCGCAGGCUGGAUUCGGACUCCAGGACAGUACCAACUUGUAAUGGUCACCACGGUCGCAUACGGACACGGAUUGGGGCGUUCAAGUACUUCACGGAUUUGUUAUGAAGUCUAUUUUCAUAUGGAUCUGGACUCAAGUCUAUAUCUGGUCCUAGGCGGUCGCAAUGACCAAUUUACUACCGAUCGGUUUUCUGGUGCUGCGUCACCUUAUUUUGGCCCAAUGGGCCGUGUAUCAAGUUGGGUCCAUUAGGGACAUGUCCUAGGGUUGGAGCACGACCCCAACACCCUCCUGGUCGUCCUCCUAGGCAUUAAUAAGGAUUAGAGCCACCACAAACAGAUUGGGUUUUGUUUAGAUCAAGUUUAGCUCUCGCUACUUGCCUGUAAGCGCGCGUGCUGGAUCAGCCGCCCGUCUUGCUGUCUUCGGAACCCCACCUUAUUGAGAUUGAGUUGGAAACCUUCAUCUUCAUCUAGUAAAUUCAGUACUUGUUAUACUUGUUCUUGCUAGUUCUUCGAUUGCUUGCAGGACGAGUGCCCUAGUGGCCGGGUGACGCGCUCCACAAGAUCGCGACAGCCAUUGGAGGUGGUGUAUCGGUUGCUAAGGCGCAGCUUGGAAGGCUGUAGUCGGGCCGUGAACGUCAUCUCCAUCCACCAAUCGAGUUAUCCACGCCUCUCUCAUCGAAAGAUCGGGAAUCAACCCUAGCGGGUUCAUAUCAGUUGGUAAUCAGAGCAAGGUUUAUCGGUGAGAGACUUCUAGUUCUUUGCUGUUUUUAAUUUCCUAUAGUCUAGAAAAGGCCAAAAAAAAUUAGUAGCUUAGUUCUCCAUAAUCCCAAAAAACCCUUUGAGCCUUUUACUAUUACUGCUUAGUUAGGGCUUAUUGAAUUAACAGUUGCAUCGUCGUGUCAAGUUGCUGGUCUUAGCGUCUAGUCGUUUAGAGUUUCGAGUUCUUGUCACGUUUGUGUCACUAUCGCAGAUUCGAGUUUAUUUGUUUCUCUCCACAAAUCAGAUUGGAUUUUCCAAAUUCCUUUAUUUUGUUUACCACUAUUAACCAAAUCACAUCCUUGGAGCUUUCAUCCACGUCCAUACUUCCAUCUCCAAAAAAGAAAAUCCCACAAGUUCAAAUCAGAAUUCGUUUCGGAGUCCUGUUUCACCUUGAGAAGAAAAGCACCAUAUUUCCUUUGUUAGGAGUCCGAAUAAGGAGUUUGAAUACAAUCUGGAAACCUGAACUUAUCCUCUUUCCAACGGAUCUGUCCUUGGUCCCAAAUUCUUUUUGAGCACUUCGGAAUCACCCUGGAGAUUUGCAUAUCUGCUGGAUUUGCAAAACAGCCACUUGUUUGACUUUGCUACUGAAUCACCCUUUCCAAGGAAAUAUUUAAUUUUUGUAAGUAGCUUGUUAUCUCUUGUUGCAAAAUUUGAGCUCUGUGCUACUUGGAAAAAAAAGAAAAGAAAAAAAACAGAAACAAAGAAAGAAAGAAAAAAAAAACAGAAAGAAAGAAAGAAAGAAAGAAAGAAGAGAAGGGUUUUUCUUUUGUUGUUUUUCCUCUCCUUGUGAUCCUUCCUUGCUGCAGCUUAGUGACUUCGUUUGUGUCCAGGCUCGCAUCUCUAGCACGUACUAGCCUAGGACCAGCACAAUAACGUCGUUGAGCGUUUGUUCAAUUUGCUUGCAACUAACGUGGUUCUAGUACUUCCUUGCUUCAGCCCACCUAUAGCUCCAUAUAUUUCGACUACAGCUUGACAGGUCCUGUUGUUGCGGCACCGAUAUACUUCAUUCCACGGUUGCAAACUUGUUGGUAGCCGUCCCUCCUGUUGAGCAAGGUAAGAAUUGGUAAGAGCUUGUGUAACGGGUUGAGAGUGAGCGCCUUGCAGUAGCUACAUCCUAAUAGCUGUAGGGUUUUUAUUUCUUCACCUGUUUUCUUGUUGCCUUUGUUUGUCUAACCAUGACAGGAUCAGAGGAUAGUCAAAAUAUGCCACAUUCUCCCCGCACCAAGGGCAUCAUACAACAUUUUGAAAAGCUAGUGAAGGGGCACGUCGAGGGGCUCGAUGAUGAUUUGCAGGUGACGAAUGAGAAGAUUGGGCAGUUGGAGGCCACGCAGCUUGCCACCAACACCAAGCUUACAGGGCUGGAGACGUCAGUCGCUCGUAUUGACAAAAGCCUUGCUGCUAUUUUGAGGCGCUUUGAUGAGAUGCACGCCAAAAACACUAAUGGACAUGAUGGAGAUAACAACACGGAUGAGCGUGUCGAGGACAAUUGGGAUGCUGAUACUGAACAAGAUGACCCAGAUGCUCAUGAUCGCCGACGACUACGCAAUAAUCGCAGAGGUAUGGGUGGUUAUCGACGACGCGAGGUACAUAAUAAUGAUGAUGCUUUCAGUAAGAUAAAAUUUAAGAUACCUCCUUUUGAUGGUAAAUAUGAUCCUGAUGCGUAUAUUACUUGGGAAAUUGUUGUUGAUCAAAAGUUUGCAUGUCAUGAGUUUCCUGAAAAUACACGUGUUAGGGCUGCUACUAGUGAGUUCACUGAUUUUGCUUCUGUUUGGUGGAUAGAACAUGGCAAGAAAAAUCCUAAUAACAUGCCACAAACAUGGGAUGCUUUGAAACGGGUCAUGCGAGCUAGAUUUGUUCCUUCUUACUAUGCACGUGAUCUUUUAAAUAGGUUGCAACAAUUGAGACAGGGUGCUAAAAGUGUAGAAGAAUAUUAUCAGGAGUUACAAAUGGGUAUGCUGCGUUGUAACUUAGAGGAGGGUGAGGAACCUGCUAUGGCUAGAUUUUUGGGUGGUUUAAACCGUGAAAUUCAGGACAUCCUUGCUUAUAAAGAUUAUACUAACGUAACCCGUUUGUUUCAUCUUGCUUGUAAAGCUGAAAGGGAAGUGCAGGGGCAACGUGCUAGUACCAAGACUAAUAUUUCUGCAGGAAAAUCUACAUCAUGGCAGCCGUGUACGACUACUUCUUUGACCGGACGUGCACCUCCACCCGCUCACUCUCCGAGUCGGCCGGCACCACCAUCUCUGUCCAGCGACAAGCAACGUGCUCCUCCCACAAAUUCAGCAACCAAGACUGCCCAGAAACCAGCCACUAGUACCACUUCGGUUGCAUCCACGGGUAGAACAAGAGAUGUUCAGUGCCAUCGAUGCAAGGGCUUUGGACACGUGCAGCGUGACUAUCCUAGCAAGCGUGUUUUGGUUGUCAAAGAAGAUGGUGGGUAUUCCUCUGCUAGUGAUUUUGAUGAAGAUACACUUGGUUUGCUUGCUACUGACCAUGCAGGUAGUGAGGAACAACCAGAAGAAGAGAUUGGUGCAGAGGAUGCAGAUCAUUAUGAGAGCCUCAUUGUGCAGCGUGUGCUUAGCGCACAAAUGGAGAAGGCGGAGCAAAAUCAGCGGCAUACACUGUUCCAAACAAAGUGUGUCAUUAAAGAGCGUUCGUGCCGUUUGAUAAUUGAUGGAGGUAGCUGCAACAACUUGGCUAGCAGCGAUAUGGUGGAGAAGCUUGCACUUGCAACCAAACCGCACCCACAUCCAUAUCAUAUUCGAUGGCUCAACAAUAGCGGUAAGGUUAAGGUAACGAGACUGGUGCGAAUUAAUUUUGCUAUUGGAUCAUAUCAUGACGUUGUUGAAUGUGAUGUUGUGCCUAUGGAAGCUUGUCAUAUUCUGCUAGGUAGACCAUGGCAAUUUGAUACGGAUUGUAUGCAUCAUGGUAGAUCAAAUCAGUAUUCUCUCAUACACCAUGAUAAGAAAAUUGUUUUGCUUCCUAUGUCUCCUGAAGCUAUUGUACGUGAUGAUGUUGCUAAAGCUAAGAAAACUAAAACCGAGAGCAAAAAAAAUGUCAAAUCUGUUAGUAGUAAGAAAGAUGAGAUCAGAUUGAAAGGACAUUGCUUGCUUGCUACUAAAUCUGAUAUUAAUGAAUUGGUUGCUUCCACUUCUGUUGCCUAUGCUUUGGUAUGCAAGGAUGCUUUGAUUUCGGUUCACGACAUGCAGCAUUCUUUGCCUCCUGUUGUUGCUAACAUUUUGCAGGAGUAUGCUGAUGUGUUUCCAAGUGAGAUCCCAGCGGGGCUGCCACCGAUACGAGGGAUUGAGCACCAAAUUGAUCUUAUUCCUGGUGCAUCUUUGCCAAACCGUGCGCCAUACAGGACAAAUCCGGAAGAAACGAAAGAAAUUCAGCGACAAGUGCAAGAACUACUCGACAAAGGUUAUGUGCGUGAGUCUCUUAGUCCUUGUGCUGUUCCGGUUAUUUUAGUGCCUAAGAAAGAUGGAACAUGGCAUAUGUGUGUUGAUUGUAGAGCUAUCAAUAAUAUAACCAUUCGAUAUCGACACCCUAUUCCACAAUUGGAUGACAUGCUUGAUGAACUUAGUGGUGCUGUUGUGUUUUCCAAAGUUGAUUUGCGUAGUGGGUACCACCAGAUUCGUAUGAAAUUAGGAGAUGAAUGGAAAACUGCUUUUAAAACUAAAUUUGGUUUAUAUGAGUGGUUAGUCAUGCCUUUUGGGUUAGCUAAUGCACCUAGUACUUUCAUGAGAUUAAUGAACGAGGUUCUUCGUGCUUUCAUUGGAAAAUUUGUUGUGGUCUAUUUUGAUGAUAUAUUGAUUUAUAGCAAAUCUAUGGAUGACCACCUUGAUCACUUACGUGCUGUUUUUAAUGCUUUACGAGAUGCGCGUUUAUUUGGUAACCUUGAGAAGUGCACCUUUUGCACCGAUCGAGUGUCUUUUCUUGGUUAUGUUGUGACUCCACAGGGAAUUGAGGUUGAUCAAGCUAAGGUAGAAGCUAUACAGGGAUGGCCUGUACCGAAGACUAUCACGCAAGUGCGGAGUUUCCUAGGACUUGCUGGUUUCUAUCACCGUUUUGUGAAGGACUUCAGCACCAUUGCUGCACCAUUGAAUGAGCUCACGAAGAAGGGAGUGCCUUUUAGUUGGGGCAAAGUACAAGAAAACUCCUUCAACAUGCUGAAAGAUAAGUUGACACAUGCACCCCUCCUCCAACUCCCUGAUUUUAAUAAGACUUUUGAGCUUGAAUGUGAUGCUAGUGGAAUUGGAUUGGGUGGUGUUUUGUUACAAGAAGGCAAACCUGUUGCAUAUUUUAGUGAAAAAUUGAGCGGGCCUGUUCUGAAUUAUUCUACUUAUGAUAAGGAAUUGUAUGCUCUUGUUCGCACAUUAGAAACAUGGCAGCAUUAUUUGUGGCCCAAAGAAUUUGUUAUUCAUUCUGAUCAUGAAUCUUUGAAACAUAUUCGUAGUCAAGGACAUCUGAACCGUAGACAUGCUAAGUGGGUUGAAUUUAUUGAAUCUUUUCCUUAUUUUAUUAAGCACAAGAAAGGGAAAGAGAAUGUUAUUGCUGAUGCUUUGUCUAGGAGAUAUACUUUGCUGAAUCAACUUGAUUACAAAAUCUUUGGAUUAGAAACAAUUAAAGACCAAUAUGUUAAUGAUGCUGAUUUUAAAGAUGUGUUGCUGCAUGGCAAAGAUGGAAAAGGAUGGAACAAAUUCAUCGUUAGUGAUGGUUUUGUGUUUAGAGCUAACAAGCUAUGCAUUCCAGCUAGCUCCGUUCGUUUGUUAUUGCUACAGGAAGCGCAUGGAGGUGGCUUGAUGGGGCAUUUUGGAGUGAAGAAAACGGAGGACGUCAUUUCUUUUGGCCAAAGAUGAGAAGAGAUGUGCAGAGGUUUGUUGCUCGUUGCACGACUUGCCAAAAGGCUAAGUCACGAUUAAAUCCACACGGUUUGUAUUUGCCUCUACCUGUUCCUAGUGCUCCUUGGGAAGAUAUUUCUAUGGAUUUUGUGUUGGGUUUGCCAAGGACUAGGAAGGGCCGUGAUAGUGUGUUUGUGGUUGUUGAUAGAUUUUCUAAAAUGGCACAUUUCAUACCAUGUCAUAAAACUGAUGAUGCUACCCAUAUUGCUGAUUUGUUCUUUCGAGAAAUUGUUCGUUUGCAUGGUGUGCCCAACACCAUUGUUUCUGAUCGUGAUGCUAAAUUUCUUAGUCAUUUUUGGAAGACUUUAUGGGGAAAACUAGGAACUAAACUUUUAUUUUCUACUACAUGUCAUCCCCAAACUGAUGGUCAAACUGAAGUUGUCAAUAGAACUUUGUCUACUAUGUUACGGGCUAUUUUAAAAAAGAACAUUAAGAUGUGGGAAGAUUGUUUGCCUCACAUUGAAUUUGCUUAUAAUCGUUCGCUGCAUUCUACUACAAAGAUGUGCCCAUUUCAGAUUGUAUAUGGUUUCUUGCCUCGUGCUCCUAUUGAUUUGAUGCCUUUGCCAUCUUCUGAAAAAUUAAAUUUUGAUGCUACUAAGCGUGCUGAAUUGAUGUUAAAACUGCAUGAAACAACUAAAGAAAACAUAGAGCGUAUGAAUGCUAAAUAUAAGUUUGCUGGUGAUAAAGGUAGAAAGGAACUAAUAUUUGAACCUGGUGACUUAGUUUGGUUGCACUUGAGAAAGGAUAGGUUUCCUGAAUUGCGAAAGUCUAAAUUGAUGCCUCGGGCUGAUGGACCCUUUAAAGUCUUGGAGAAAGUUAAUGAUAAUGCAUAUAAGCUCGAUCUGCCUGCCGAUUUUGGGGUUAGUCCCAUAUUUAACAUUACAGAUUUGAAGCCAUAUUUGGGAGAAGAAGAAGAGCUUGAGUCGAGGACGACUCAAAUGCAAGAAGGGGAGGAUGAUGAGGACAUCAACACCAACGAUACAUCCACACCUACACAAGUACCAGUUUCUGGUCCGAUAACUCGCGCCCGUGCUCAUCAACUUAAUCAUCAAGUAAGUUCACUCUUGAGUUCCUGUCCAUCCUAUUUAGACCAUGGAGACGCGUGCACUCUUGUUUUGGUUAGGAAUCAUGGAGAAGACCGAAAGGGAAACGGACUCGCGCAGGCUGGAUUCGGACUCCAGGACAGUACCAACUUGUGAUGGUCACCACGGUCGCAUACGGACACGGAUUGGGGCGUUCAAGUACUUCACGGAUUUGUUAUGAAGUCUAUUUUCAUAUGGAUCUGGACUCAAGUCUAUAUCUGGUCCUAGGCGGUCGCAAUGACCAAUUUACUACCGAUCGGUUUUCUGGUGCUGCGUCACCUUAUUUUGGCCCAAUGGGCCGUGUAUCAAGUUGGGUCCAUUAGGGACAUGUCCUAGGGUUGGAGCACGACCCCAACACCCUCCUGGUCGUCCUCCUAGGCAUUAAUAAGGAUUAGAGCCGCCACAAACAGAUUGGGUUUUGUUUAGAUCAAGUUUAGCUCUCGCUACUUGCCUGUAAGCGCGCGUGCUGGAUCAGCCGCCCGUCUUGCUGUCUUCGGAACCCCACCUUAUUGAGAUUGAGUUGGAAACCUUCAUCUUCAUCUAGUAAAUUCAGUACUUGUUAUACUUGUUCUUGCUAGUUCUUUGAUUGCUUGCAGGACGAGUGCCCUAGUGGCCGGGUGACGCGCUCCACAAGAUCGCGGCAGCCAUUGGAGGUGGUGUAUCGGUUGCUAAGGCGCAGCUUGGAAGGCUGUAGUCGGGCCGUGAACGUCGUCUCCAUCCACCAAUCGAGUUAUCCACGCCUCUCUCAUCGAAAGAUCGGGAAUCAACCCUAGCGGGUUCAUAUCAGUGGGCUUGGGAUAGCGGCGAGAAUGUCCGGCGGUAUUCCGGCGGCAGCAGUGCUUCUUGUGGAUCACAAGCAAGCUCUUGAGCAGCACUGAAAGGAGUGGCUGGUGGAUUGGGGAAAGGUGGUGUUUGAGCAGAGAGGAGAGUUCCUCAGACUUAGGUGGUGGCGCUGUGAGCACGAACAGGGAGUAAGAGAGAGGGCAGCUAGGGCAAAGGGGAACUCCGGCGGGGCUUCGGCAUCCCAUUUUAUAGCGGCGCGGAAGUGAUAAGGGGGAGCGGCGUGAAGGUCGGGGAAGAAACGAUGGAGUGCUCUGCCGGGGCGGCGAUUGAGCGACGAGGGCGGUGGAGUAGGACUUCGGGGAUGACACCGGCGGUCAUUGGGCACUGACAUCAGGGCAGCGCAGGCGCGGGUUUGCCGGUGGUUGAGAUUUGGCGGAGGUGGGCGUCGUCGUGCGGUGGAUCUGAUGGAAGUGAUCGGGAAAAUGGCGCUAGGAACGAGGGCGCACAGGUGAGAAGACAGGCGGUUGCAGUCGCGCGGGCGAGCGCGGAGCACCAGAUUGUCGGGGCGGCUUCUGACAAGGCGGGAAAAGGAGCUGUCGCUGCCGCGGUCUGGGUUGGCGGGGGAGGAAUCGUCGCGUAGCGAGGACCGAGGCGGCGCGACUGUGGAGAGGUGACAGAAAAGAUGGGCGGCAUCGGGCUCUACAGCCGGGAUCUGGUGAUGUGAUGAUGGGCACGGGCGGCGAGGUGCUGCAGAAAGGGUGGCAGAGGAGCUUCUGCCGCAAUUGGGGAAGGGGGCGCGAGAAUCCAUCCGGUCGUGGCCGGCGACGAGGUGGAGCGGCAGGCGUCGGAGGAGUUGAGCCACGCGGCUGGGGAACUCUGAAGCGGGCAUGCAACUCGAGUGCGCCUGUCGCGGGAGAUUUGGGGGAAAGAUCUCGUGGGUCCACCGGUCUGUCUUGGUGGUCCACAGCUCAGAACGAAGGGAGGUGUUGUGGGAGGACUUAGAAAGAUCCAACGGUGGGUUGGGGGUCGGCGGGGUCGGAACUGGGGAAAACACGGCGAGGGGUCGAAUUGAAGGGGUCGGGAGUUCUGGAGGUUGAGCAAACAACCUUGGUAAACUGAGACAGGUGAUCAGGGACUCGGAUUAAGAUUAACGCGAAGGAGUUUUAUCCAAGGCCGUUACAGCCUACCCCCCUUAAGAAGAAUCUCAUCCCAAGAUUCGGAUGUAGAAGUAACCGGUCGGGGUGUGUAGCCUUUACCUCCUUGGCUGGAAAGAAAACUGGGGAAGUGCUUGUUCAAGUACUCUUCUGUUUCCCACGUUGCUUCAUCCUCCGUGUGGUUCCUCCAGAGGAUCUUGUACAUUUUGAUCACUUGGCGUCGGGUAUGCCUCUCUUUCUGGUCAAGGAUCUUGGCCGGAUACUCUGCAUAGGUUAGGUUAGGCUCGAUUUGAAGCUGCUCCUGUUCUAAGAUCUCAGUUGGAACUUGGACACAUUUCUUCAGCUGAGACACGUGGAAAACGUCGUGUAUGGCCGAUAGCUGUUCUGGGAGUUGGAUCCGAUAGGCCACGGGUCCACAAAUUUCCACAACUACAUAUGGGCCAAUGUAACGGGGAGCCAGUUUCCCUUUUACUCCAAACCGUUGCACUCCUUUGGUUGGGGAAACUCGAAGAUACACAUGAUCACCAAUGUCAAACUGUAGGCGCCUUCUUUGCCUGUCGGAUUAACUCUUCUGUCGAGAUUGGGCAGCCUUGAGAUUUCCUUGAAUCACCUUCACUUGUUCUUCGGCUUCUACCACUAAGUCAGGGCCAUAAAUUUGUCUCUCUCCCACUUGGGACCAGUUCAAUGGUGUCCAGCAUCUCCGUCCGUACAAUGCUUCAAACGGUGCCAUCUUCAAACUGGCUUGGUAGCUGUUGUUGUAGGAGAACUCCGCCAAUGGCAGGCACUUGUCCUAGUUUCUAUCAUAGUGGAUGACACAAGCUCUUAACAUGUCUUCAAGGAUCUGAUUGACUCUUUCAGUUUGACCGUCGGUUUGAGGAUGAUAGGUUGAGCUACGGAUGAGUUUGGUGCCCAUGGAUGCUUGUAGCUGUUCCCAAAAGCGUGCUACAAACUGAAUUCCUCGAUCAGAGAUGAUGGUCUUAGGCACACCGUGUAGGGAAACUAUGCGGUCGAGGUACAGCUCUGCAUACUGCUUGACUGUGUGGGUGGUGUGGACAGGAAGGAAGUGGGCGGUCUUGGUCAGACGGUCCACUAUAACCCAAAUGGAAUCAUGUCGCUGCGAUGAAAGAGGCAGUCCAACAAUGAAAUCCAUGCUGACAUCCUCCCAUUUCCAAGAGGGAAUAGGUAGGGGCUGUAAAGUACCUGCUACCUUUAGAUGACUGGCCUUGACAUGUUGGCAGGUGUCACACUCUGAAACGUACCGGGCAAUUUCCUGUUUCAUUCCGCUCCACCAGAAAGUUUGGCGUAGAUCAUGGUACAUCUUGUUGCUGCCUGGGUGGAUGGAGAACUUGGAGAGAUGAGCUUCAUCUAGGAUCUGCUUCCUCAAGUUGGGGUCGGCGGGUACAACCAGUUGGUUUCCAUAAUAUACUUUUCCAGUUUCAUCCUGCCGAAACUACUUAUAUCCUUCAUCUUUCAAGGAAAUCUUCCUGGUGAUCCGCAUUACUUCCUCAUCCUCCACUUGUGCUGACCUUAUUUGGUCUUCUAAAAUAGAGUCAAGGGCGAUGUGGCCGAGGGUUCCAUGGGAAACAAUUUCCAAACUGAGUUUUCCCAUCUCAUGAUACAAGGUUUCGGUGAAGGUUGUUGCCAACAAGUAGUUGCAACAGGGCUUGCGGCUAAGAGCGUCGGCCACCACAUUAGCCUUGCUGGGGUGAUAGUGUACUUCCAAAUCAUAAUCCUUUAUCAACUCUAACCAUCUUCUUUGGCGCAUGUUGAGGUCGGCUUGGGUGAAGAUAUACUUGAGGCUCUUGUGGUCGGUGUAGAUGUUGCAGCGGGUGCCCAUCAGAUAAUGUCUCCAUAUCUUUAAGGCAUGGAUCACUGCUGCCAACUCAAGAUCAUGGGUUGGGUAGUUCAGCUCAUGAGGUCGUAACGCUCGUGAGGCAUAGGCAAUGACUCGGUUGUCUUGCAUAAGAACACACCCAAGUCCAGUGCCAGAGGCGUCACAGUACACGUCAAACAACCUAGAGGGGUCGGGUUGGGCCAAAACUGGGGCUGUGGUCAGCAAGCGCUUCAAGGUUUUGAAGGCUUGUUCACACUUGUCGUUCCACACAAAUCUGACAUCUUUCUUCAACAGCUCUGUCAUUGGCUUAGCUAUCUUGGAGAAGUCCGGUAUGAAACGUCGAUAGUAGCCUGCCAGUCCAAGGAAACUUCGGAUCUGGUGCACUGAGGUAGGAGGCUUCCAGUCCAUAACUUCCUGUACCUUGCUGGGGUCGACGGCUAUGCCAUUCUUAGAGAUAGUAUGUCCCAAGAAUUUGACACUAUCCAACCAGAAUUCACAUUUGGAGAACUUGGCAUAGAGCUGAUGAUCUCUCAGCCGUUGGAGAACUACGCGAAGAUGGUUGGCAUGUUCUUCUUCGCUCUUCGAGUACACCAGGAUAGCAUCAAUGAACACCACUACAAACUUGUCCAACUCGGGCAUGAACACCGAGUUCAUAAGGUACAUGAAGUAUGCGGGUGCAUUGGUGAGCCCAAAAGACAUGACCAGGUACUCGUAGAGUCCAUAUCUUGUGGAGAAGGCAGUCUUAGGGAUGUCACAUGGUCGGAUCUUGAUUUGGUGAUAACCUGAACGAAGAUCGAUUUUGGAGAACACUCUAGCUCCAGCUAACUAAUCAAACAAGACAUCAAUGCGGGGGAGUGGGUACUUGUUCUUGAUAGUCACCGCAUUGAGAGGUCGGUAGUCUACACACAUGCGUAGACUGCCAUCCUUCUUCUUCACAAUCAGGACCGGGCAACCCCAGGGUGAUGCACUGGGUCGGAUGAAACCUUUUUCCAACAGAUCAUGCAACUGGGUCUUUAACUCAGCUAGCUCAGCUGGUGGCAUCCAAUAGGGCCUUUUGGAGAUGGGGGCGGUGCCGGGGAUCAACUCUAUGGCAAACUCCACAUCUCUAUCAGGCGGCAUGCCGGGCAAGUACUCUAGGAACACAUCAGGGUACUCAGAGACAACAGGGAGGCUUUCUAGCCGGGCUUGUGAUAGAGGGUACGCACAGGGGAAUGCGGACUUAGGAGGGUUCAAGAACAGGGUAGAACUGCCAUAAAAGGGUGAGUUGAUGUGGAGGGUUCGAGCGGCUGGGUCUAGAACCACUUGGUGUCUGGUCAUCCAAUCCAUUCCAAGAAUGAUAUCUAUUCCUUCCAGGUCAAGGAGGAUAAGAUUUUCCUUAAAAAGGUUUUGGCCUAGCUGAAUAGGCACAUUGACACUCAUCCUAUCAGAUGUGAUUAUUCCACCCGGGGUGGAUAUUCUAAAAGACCCUCUGGUUUGGCAGUCUUGUAACCCACACUUGUCACGGGUCUUUCGCCCGAUAAAACUAUGUGAAGCUCCCGAGUCAAACAAAACCAAAGCUGAAAAACUAUGAAUCAGAAAGGUACCCGUCAUUAUCGGCGCACCUUCAGGAAGCUCUACUGCGUGGGUGAAGUUCAGUCGACCUUGGCGAACUUGCACCUUGGGCCUCUUUCCUUUGUUGGGCGUUGCAUUGCUCUGCCCUGGGCGCGGGCUCUGAUUUCUGGGGCAAUCCUUGGCGAAAUGCCCCACAUCGCCGCACGCAAAACAGCGGUUACCCGUUGCAGGGCGUGGGGGUGGCGGCAGGGCCUCUGGUUGGAAACCAGGAAAAUGGGGCGCUGCUGCUGGCGGGGGUCGGGCAAUCCACCUUCCUGACUGCUGGGGUCGGCUGGGCGCCUGUGGUGGAACCAUUCUGAAAUGCUGCGCAGGUGGGCUGGGCGUUGGUAGUGGGGCUUUCCUCUUCCUCUCCGCUGCCAGAGCCUUCAUGCAGUCCUCUUGGGAGAUGGCCAGGUUGACCAACUCAUUGUACGUAUCCACCCUUAUCGGGUUUAACCUUUCUCUGAGCUCCAAGCUCAGCCCUCUGCGGAAUCUGUCCCACUUCUUCUCGUCGGUGUCCGCGUGAUAUCCAACAUAACGACACAGAUCGUUGAAGGCUUGUGCGUAGUGUAACACAUCUCGGUUUCCUUGGUGAAGAGCCAGGAAUUCAUUGAGCUUGCGCUCCAGGAGACCCUUCGGAAUGUGGUGCGCUCUGAACGCAGUCUUGAACUCGUUCCAGCUGAUGACAUGGUCUGCUGGCAACAUGGCGUGGUAGUGAUCCCACCAUAGCCGAGCGGAACCACGUAACUGCUAGGCUGCAAACCGAGCCUUAUUGUGAUCGGGGCACUGGGCGGUGAGAAGCUCGAACUUGGAUUCGAUGGUGCGAACCUAGGCGUCUACAUUGAGCGGGUCUUGGGUCUUCUGGAACAAUGGGGGCUGCGUCCCCAAAAAGUCUUCAUAACGAGCAACAUGAGGUUGCUGCUGAGCCCUUCCACCAUGGGGUUGCUGCUGUUGUUGCCCUUGUACCAGAUGUCUCAGCAGCUCGGUCUGAGCCGCUAAGAUUGCCUCUAGUGGAGACGGGGGUGGAGGUGGGGGAAGAUCCUGUCUUUGCUCGCUGCUGCCGGGCACAGAGCCAGAUCUGGUGCGAUGCGCCAUCUGCAAGAGUUAACGUUCCAUUAAAUUCAUAAUCUUAGAAUUGAGUGACUUGGCAUAGUUAAUCUAAAGAAGAGCUUUUCCGAGCAAGGUUGCUUUUGAGGAGGGUGACUUGGCAGAUUUUUAGCUUAUGUCGCAUGCACGGCCUACCUCGUUCUUAACCAAAACAACUGCCAAAACUUGGUCUUACGCGGUUAGUGCCGGUGGCAAGACAACCAGUACGUCUCUCCUUAUAAUAACUAGUCAGUUCUAGCAACGUCUCCUAAGCGAACGCGGUUAGUGUACCUGCAGAAAACACGACCACAUGAACCUUUCAUGCCAGCACCCACGAAAGCGUUCCCAAACAUUACCGUUCACUAUAGGAAUGGCACCCAUGCGUUCAAGGCUGCAUGGACAGUACUCAACCGUGGAAAUAGGUCCCCUUUGAAUGGAACCGUAUAACCCUUCGCAUACUCGUGAUGCGGAUUCAGCGCACGUAUAAUAGACGUGGCGAACAACCGUGAUGAUAGGCUCGUUGGAAUCGAACCGCACCAAACAUAUAGAACCUGCGCACGUAUGACAAACGUGGGUGAAACAACCGCGAUGAUAGGGUCCUUUGAAUAGAACUCCCUAUAAUCCCUCGCAUACUCGUGAUGCGGAACUCGGCACACGUAUGAUAAACGUGGCGAAGUGCUGGAAGGGUUAGCAAGAUAACCAAUUAAAUAUUAGCCACCUAAAAACAACCCCAAAAUCCCCUAGGGCCUCUCGUACUAAAGUCAUCCUUAACGAUCGUACGAGAUAUUUUUCAAAGAGUUUCUUGCAACUUUUAUCUUUUAAAGAGGUGUGUAAGGGCCUAUUAUGUUCUCUGUCUUGCUAAACCGGCUCUGGUACCAGCUGUGGCGGAUCCACUUCAGAUUUUCUUGAUUAGUCAUGAUUAAGCCGCCUGAUAUGCGACUCUCAUGCCUUAACCAAGUAAACACGAAGUGCCGUCGGAUUUCAUCCGAUUUAACCACUUGAACAGGACCGAAUAGCAAACUCACAUGUAGGUGAGCGGUUCCAAAGAAAACAAAAAGUCCACUGAGUUAACAAAUUAACCGUUUGGUUUGGCCAUAAAACAACAUCAGAGUUUACAAGGUUCAGAAGAAAAACAACAGAGGUAAAACAACGCACGGAAGCUACUUCGUCGGGGUCGGACAUCCCUGGUGAGGCCAACCGGGACGUCAGCGGUCCCUCUCCUCGCUGUUCGAGGAGGGAUCCCACUCAACCGUCCAACCCGGAGGGAGUUAGGGCGGCCAAGUGCCAACAGAGGCCGCAACUUCACCUGAAAAAGAAGAGCCGCAACAAGGCUGAGCUACUAAGCUCAACAAGACUUAACCGACAGGGAGUACGCUACUCCACCACUUCUAAACAUGCAAGGCCUUUUUGGCUGAGGGGUUUGUUUGCCAAAAGCGCUAGGUAUAUCCCUACUUUCAAGUUUUAGCUCAGGUUCUAAGUUCAUUAUCCGGUCUAAGUUUGCAACCUACUCUAAACAAACAUAGAACCAACCAAAGGUAUAUACAUCAUCAUCAAGACCAUGUCAUCAUCAGAUUCCUUUAAUUACUCAGGGUGACAUAGCGAUCAAGCAGUCUCAAACUGUGAGAGGCAGACGAAUCAAUUCGAGUUUCUUAACCAUGCAUGGCGAACCUAAUCUCACGACAUCCGCGCACCACAAGGGUCGCUUCCUGUGUCGGCCGUCCCCAUCAAUUCCUAGGCGCGUGUCAGGUCCAAACUUCCCUUGGCAUGCAAUGCUCCACAGUCCUGGUCUCUACCGUAAUGUGACCGCACUUGCACCCACAUGAUGCACCAUGGGAACCUCGUUCCAGGAACAGCAGGGGUAUAAGCCACGCCCUAGUUCAAUCAGGUACUAGGCUUCCCCAUCCCAUACUAGGUAUGAGAUUAGUACUUUCAAACACUUGAUCACGAACACCACCACUGUCGGGCCUUAGCAAGUUUCAUAGACAGACGGGGCGAUCAACCGACCACCAAAGAGUUACCCAAAACCCUGCCCCAUCCAUCGUCCUUAUAGUUGCAACAGAAGAGGAAACAACCAACUCCUACAACUCGUGAGUGACAGGGAAUCACUCGGCUUUUACCGUUUCCUAGUUAAGCAAGGCAUCUACUCGGUCCAACAGCUAGUGAUCAUAUCAAGGGGUCUAAGUCAUGCAUCUUGUUAGGAUACGAGGUAGGCUACGCUAGCGCAAAUCAAAAAUACUACCGCGUAUAACCAGGAAGAACUGCCGUAUAAGGAUCACGGGAUUACCACUCGACGCACUACUCGUGCGGAAGAUGUAGAUAUGCGUCGAUGCAGUGAAGACGAUCACGUAGUCGUACGUAGUCGAUCAACGUAGUCGUAUGUAGUCGAUCACGUCAAUGUUCAGCAGCUCGUCCACGUGCAACAAGAUCGCCUCCGGUGCCGCGGCUCGUCGUCGGCUUGUCGUGGCUCGUCGGCGGCUCGUCGACGGCUCGUCCAAGUGCUGCAGGCGCAACACCUCCAAGGUAUCCACACGUGCAGGAAGGAAGCGUCGCAAGCCGGACUGCUAGAUCCGCGAGUUGCAACAGGCGAGGGCGUGGGAGGCGCGGCAGGUGUGUUUCGCCAAAAGGUGUAAACCCUAGGGCGCCUCCACCCCUCUAUUUAUAGAGGUUCCUGACGGGCCUCUGGGUCCGAGGCCCAUUAGUACUUGUAAACCUAGAUCCGAAUUGGGCUUCCAGCCCCUUAAGUGUGUGACCCUAUGGGUUCGGAUACGUAUAGACAUGGCCCGAGUACUCCUACUCGGCCCAAUAGUCGGUAGCGGCCUCUAGCAAGACGUGCCAACUCCUAUACGCACACGAAGAUCAUAUCAGAUGAACCAUCACAACAUAAUAUACAUGCUAUUCCCUUCGCCUCACGAUAUUUGGUCUAGCUUCAAGCCGACCGCUCUUUCUCGAUCCAGUGAUUCGGAAUCCCUUUGUAGGUUAACUCUUAACCGUACGUAGCAUGGCCAUGCAUUUUCGGAUUCGAUCACUCGAGGGGCCCAGAGAUAUCACUCCCAAUCAGAGAGGGGCAAAUCCCAUCUUGAUUUGACUAUGUCUCAUAGCAUGCUUCUUGACAAACCCGAAAGCUACCUUUAUAACUACCCUGUUACGGCGUAGCGUUUGAUAGCCCCUAAGUAGGUCGAUCCACAUCUAGAAUACAUGCGACAAUCUCAGGUCUAAGGACAAAGCGUAUAUGUUGUUUAAAGACAGAACUACUUCUCGUGUUGGGUCAGUCCUAGCACAUGUCUCCACAUGUGUCCACAUUAUUAGUUGAACAUCUCCAUGUCCAUGACUUGUGAAACAUAGUCAUCAACUAAUACAUGUGCUAGUCUAAUAUUCAUGUGUGUCCUCACAUGAACUCCGACUAGGGACAACUUUAGAAUAACCAUACAAGUAAAGAGUUUCACAUACAAUUCACAUAAUUGCAAAUCAAUUCAAGUAGCCUUUAAUGGAUAUUCAAUGAACACAGUAUACAAAUCAUGGAUACAAAUGGAAUAUCAUCAUCUCUAUGAUUGCCUCUAGGGCAUACCUCCAACAGUCUCCCACUUGCACUAGAGUCAAUCUAGAAGGUACCUAAUACCCAUAGCUCUUACAUGCGCAUCAUGCUUAGCCUGCGGGAGUGGUUUUGUCAACGGAUCAGAAAUGUUCAGAUCCGUGUGUAUUUUGCAUAUCUUUAUCUCACCCCGGUUAACGAAGUCUUGAAUGAGAUGAAAUCGCCGCAUUACGUGUUUGUUCUUCUGGUGGUUCCUUGGCUCCUUUGCUUGCGCAAUUGCCCCAUUAUUAUCACAGUAGAGAUUCAAUGGGCUGGACGCAUUCGGGAACACACCAAGUUCAAUGAGGAAAUUCCUUAUCCAAACACAUUCCUUCGCAGCUUCCGAAGCCGCGAUGUACUCGGCUUCUGUCAUGGAAUCGGCCACCGUCUCCUGCUUGGAACUCUUCCAACUAACAGCACCACCAUUCAGUGUGAACACAAAAUCCUGAUUGUGACUUUGAAUCAUCUCUGUCGGUUUGGAAACUAGCAUCGGUGUAACCUGUUACAACGAGCUCCUCCUCUCCUCCAUAGACGAGGAACAUAUCUUUAGUCCUUCUCAAGUACUUAAGAAUGUUUUUCACCGCUGUCCAGUGACUCUCACCUGGAUCAGAUUGGUGUCUGCUUGUCAUACUUAGCGCAUAUGAAACAUCUGGGCGAGUACUUAUCAUUGCAUACAUGAUAGAUCCAAUAGCCGAGGCAUAUGGCACUCUACUCAUGCGAUCCCGCUCAUCAGCAGUCGAAGGACACUGAGUCUUGCUGAGAUGUAUGCCAUGUGACAUAGGCAAGAACCCUUUCUUUGCCUCUUCCAUGCUGAACCGCUUCAACACUUUGUCAAUGUAAGUAUCUUGGCUUAAACCUAUAAGCCUUCUCGAUCUAUCUCUAUAGAUCUUAAUGCCCAGAAUAUAUGCCGCUUCCCCUAAGUCCUUCAUCGAAAAACUAUUUUUCAGUGAAGUCUUUACAGACUCAAGCAUAGGAAUGUUAUUUCCAAUCAGUAAUAUGUCAUCCACAUAUAAGAUUAGAAAUACUACAGAGCUCCCACUAACCUUCUUGUAAACACAAGACUCUUCUUCAUUCUUGGUGAAGUCAAACCCUUUGACCACUUCAUCAAAACGAAUGUUCCAACUCCUAGAUGCUUGCUUCAAUCCAUAAAUGGAUCUCUGAAGCUUGCAUACCUUUCUAGCAUUUUUCGGAUCGACAAAACCCUCGGGUUGUAUCAUAUACACGUCCUCAGCUAGGUUUCCAAUCAGGAAAGCUGUCUUGACAUCCAUCUGUCAUAUCUCAUAAUCAAAAUAUGCAGCUAUAGCUAGAAUAAUCCGAAUGGACUUAAGCAUCACUACGGGCGAGAAGGUCUCGUCGUAGUCAACUCCUAAACUUGUCGAAAACCUUUUGCGACAAGUCGUGCUUUAUAGAUGUGAACAUUUCCAUCCAUGUCCUUUUUCUUCUUAUAGAUCCACUUGCACUCUAUGGCUUUAACACCAUCAGGCGGGUCAACCAAGAUCCAAACUUGAUUGUCUCCCAUGGACUCUAUUUCGGAUUGCAUGGCACUCUGCCAUUUUUCGGAGUCUGGGUCCAUCAUUGCUUCUGCAUAUGUCGCAGGCUCAUCAUUGUCCAACAAUAAUAUUUCCCGCAUUUCGCGGAGCCUUGCCGACCUUCGUGGUUGUGGCGGUGCUUCUCUUGCCAUGGGUAUCUCAACUUGUUCUGCUACGUUAGCAUCACUCAUUGAUUUUUGCCCGAUCGGCUCAUCUUGAACUUAUUCAAGAUGCACUGUCUUUCCACUCUUUUCUCCUUUGAGAAACUCUUUCUCUAGGAAAACCCCGUUCCGAGCGACAAACACUUUGCCUUCUGAUCGGUUGUAGAAAUAAUAUCCCAAAGUUUCCUUUGGAUAUCCCACGAAAAUGCACUUAUCCGACUUGGGUGUGAUCUUGUCCGACUGAAGUCGCUUGACAAAGACUUCACAUCCCCAAAUCUUUAGAAAAGACAAACUAGGAACCUUUCCAGUCCAUAUCUCAUAUGGUGUCUUAACUACGGAUUUAGAUGGUACCCUAUUAAGUGUGAAAGCUGCUGUUUCUAGAGCGUAUCCCCAAAAUGACAACGGUAGGUCCGACUGGCUCAUCAUUGAUCGAACCAUGUCUAACAAAGUUCGAUUACAUCGCUCGGACACACCAUUUCUCUAAGGUGUUCCAGGCGGCGUAAGUUGUGGAACAAUUCCGCAACUCUUUAGAUGAUUGCUAAACUCGUGGCUCAAAUACUCGCCUCCACGAUCAGAUUGUAAGGCCUUAAUUUUCUUGCCACGCUGAUUUUCAACUUCAUUCUGAAAUUCCUUGAACUUUUCAAAGGUUUCAGACUUGUGCCUCAUCAAGUAGACAUAGCCAUAUCUACUAAAAUCAUCAGUGAAAGUUAUGAAGUAUUGGAAUCCUCCUCUAGCCGUCGUGCUCAUUGGUCCGCAUACAUCACUAUGUACGAGUUCCAACAAGUCUACUGCUCUCUCAGGAAAUCCUGUGAAAGGCGUCUUGGUCAUCUUGCCUAGCAAGCAAGCCUCACAUGUCUCGUAUGAUUCAAAAUCAAACGAAGUUAGAAGUCCAUCAGAAUGGAGCUUCUUCAUGCGCUUUUCACUUAUAUGACCCAAACGACAAUGCCACAAGUAGGUAGGACUCAAAUCAUUAGGCUCAGACCUUUUAGCACUUACAUUACAGACAGGUGAACCAUCAAGAUUUAAAACAAAUAAUCCAUUCACAAUGGGUGCAAAAGCCAUAAACAUAUUAUUCUUAGAGAUCACACAACCAUUGUUUUCACUCGCAAAUGAAUAACUAUCCUUCAUCAAGCAUGAAGGAGACAAAAUGUUUCGACUUAAACUAGGAACAAAAUAACAAUUAUUCAACUCCAUAAUAAAUCCUGACGGGAGGUGGAGUUGCAUCGUCCCGACGGUCAACGCAGCAACUCUUGCAUUAUUGCCCACGCGGAAAUCAACUUCUCCUCUUUCCACGCUUCUACUUCUUAUCAUUCCCUGCAUCGAAUUGCAAAUAUGAGCAACCGAUCCGGUAUCAAAUACCCAAGAAUUAAUAAUUGUAUCAGCGAGAAAUAUGUUGUCUAUAACAUUAACAACAAGCGUACCUGAGGUACAAGUUCUCUUACUUCCGCCAUUCUUCAAGGAAGCUAGGUACUGCUUGCAGUUUCUCUUCCAGUGACCAAGUUCAUGACAGUAAAAGCACUCUUUAUCUGGAGCAGGUCCAGGUCCAGCUUUAACCUGGGUGCUGGGUUUGGCUUGGACGUUCCAGCCUUGCCCUUCUUCUUAAAGCUAGGCUUGUUCUGUAUAGCCAUCACAUGGCUGGUACUAGCGCUUUUCUUGAUGUCAGCCUCUGCUGUUUUAAGCAUGCCACAUAGCUCAUUCAGACCCUUCUCCGUCCCAUGCAUAUGGUAGUUCGAGAUGAAGUUCCCAUAGCUAGGCGGAAGAGACGAAAGAAUGAAAUCAGUGGCCAACUCUUGGCCCAGUGGGAAGCCUAGCUUCUCCAACCGUUGAGUGUAACCAACCAUCUUGAUUACUUGUGGUCCUACUGCUGCACCUUCUGCUAGCUUGCUCUCAACAAAGGCCUUAGACACAUUGAACCUUUCAGUCCUGGCCUGUGUUUGGAACAUGUCUCUAAGCGCCAUGAUCAUAUCGUGCACCUCAUGGUUUGUUUCGAACUGCAUCUGCAGCUCGGGUUCCAUGCAAGCAAGCAUAAGGCAGCUUACUUCGAGGUUAGCAUCACAUGCUUUCUUGUAAGCAUUCUUAGCAGCAGCGGGUGCAUCAUCAGCGGGUUCUUCUAGUAGUGGGUUCUUUUUUCUCAGCCCUGAGAACAAUUCUCAGGUUACGGAUCCAAUCCGAGUAAUUUGUUCCAUUCAACUUGUCCUUGUCAAGGACCGAACACAAAGCAAACGGUGUAGUGCUGCUAGGUGCCAUUUAAUCUACAACAAAGUAAUGCAAAAUACACUAAGACAAACAUAUCCAUGAUAGAGUAAAUCACAUUAAACUAGUUUAACAGAAUCUACUCCCACUAAAAUCAAUAUCCCUCUAUUGAAACUUAGUGAUUCAGGAUCCACAACUAACAAGUCCACUAGUGAGCUUUAGCAUCACCGCUAGCAAACAAGGUAGAUCGGUAAGCAACUUCUGCUAAUCAUAUCACAUAUGACUCCUGUUGUUGGGUGACAUCUCCAUGUCUCGGCGCCCAACCUUUAUGCCCCAAGGUCCUUAACCGUUAAGAUAACCUUGUUAAGCAAACCAACCCUUAUGCGUGUAAGUGUCCGACACAAACCCGUCUAGUCAAGGAAAACUAGUGGCACCCUAAUUUCAUAGACCCACCACUAAUUGUACAAGACAUGGGACGGUGCAAGUUUUAGUUGGGAGGGCAUACUAACUUAAACUUUGUGAGGGAUCGUUCUACUUCUAACAUCACAGCAUGCAGAAAGUAAAACAUAAACAGAAUAGCAUUCACACAGUUGUGACACAGUAUGGCCCGUUUUUCUUAUGGUGAUCUCCAUCUCCAUAGAAGCUGUUCACCAUGGUGAUCUCCAUCUCCAUGUUCCAUGUGCGCCAUCCUUCUGGUGAUGAGUCCUCCAAGAACUUAGAACAUGCUAUUACACCUAAUAGCUAGUAAAGAAGCUAGUAAUGAAGAUUACAUAGUUGCUUGGAUCAUCACAGAUUGGUACGCAGACCAUUAAAUACAAUAAAGUGACAACACAUAUGGCUCCUGCCGUGUUGCCGUACGCGCGACACGCAGGUCACGAAUGAGUUACACACAUGCAUCACAUACACAAGGGGGCCAUACUGAUCACAAGAUACAUACAUACAUCCUGCAAAACAGAGUUAGGCGCCCUAACGUUCCAAACUUCGGAUGCCCGAAACUCCAUCUUCCAAGCCGAAUUUGGGAAUUCUAAUCUCGCCAAAAACGGCAAAGCCCUUGAAUUUCAUGUGUAACUUUUUUUGUAGAUCAAUUUUCAUAUAAAAUUCGUCCCGAUCCGAGAUCGUACCGAAAAGUUACGGCUGAUUUACCGAAGCAUAUGCAUAUGGCAAAAAUCCCGACCCCGGCAGUAGAUCUCAUCUACUAUUGCACAUCUAAUGCGCCUGACGUAUGACCCUGAAUUUUGAUUCGACCAAUCAUAUUGAUCUUCGCUCACUGCAACUGGAUUUACGUGUAUCACUUAACUCCGAUGGCGGAAACCGACCGGUAGGAGUAUGUCAUUACACUACCAUUGCAGCAAGGGCACGAAAACAGGACAUAAAUCAAACGGAAAACUCGCAUAUCUCCAUAUGCACACAUCCCGAAUCCAAAACUAAUGCAGCUACGGCUCUGAUACCACUGUUGGGAUACGAGGUAGGCUACGCUAGCGCAAAUCAAAACUUCUACCGCGAAUAACCAGGAAGAACUGCCGUAUAAGGAUCACGGGAUUACCACUCGACGCACUACUGGUGCGGAAGAUGUAGAUAUGCGUCGAUGCAGUAAAGACGAUCACGUAGUCGUACGUAAUCGAUCAACGUAGUCGUACGUAGUCGAUCAACGUAGUCGUACGUAGUCGAUAACGUCAACGUUCAGCAGCUCCUCAGCAGCUCGUCCACGUGCAGCAAGAUCGCCUCCGGUGCCGCGGCUCGUCGUCCGCUCGUCGUGGCUCGUUGGCGGCUCGUUGACGGCUCAUCCAAGUGCUGCAGGCGCAACACCUCCAAGGUAUCCACACGUGCAGGGAGGAAGCGUCGCAAGCCGGACUGCUAGAUCCGCGAGUUGCAACAGGCGAGGGCGUGGGAGGCGCGGCAGGUGUGUUUCGCCAAAAGGUGUAAAGCCUAGGGCGCCUCCACCCCUCUAUUUAUAGAGGUUCCUGACGGGCCUCUGGGUCCGAGGCCCAUUAGUACUUCUAAACCUAAUCCAACUCGAAUCAGAUCCGAAUUGGGCUUCCAGCCCCUUAAGUGUGUGACCCUAUGGGUUCGGAUACGUAUAGACAUGGCCCGAGUACUCCUACUCGACCCAAUAGUUGGUAGCGGCCUCUAGCAAGACGUGCCAACUCCUAUAUGCACACGAAGAUCAUAUCAGACGAACCAUCACAACAUAAUAUACAUGCUAUUCCCUUCGCCUCACAAUAUUUGGUCUAGCUUCAAGCCGACCGCUCUUUCUCGAUCCUGUGAUUCGGAAUCCCUUUGUAGGUUAACUCUUAACCGUACGUAGCAUGGCCAUGCAUUUUCGGAUCCGAUCACUCGAGGGGCCCAGAGAUAUCACUCCCAAUCAGAGAGGGGCAAAUCCCAUCUUGAUUUGACUAUGUCUCAUAGCAUGCUUCUUGACAAACCCGAAAGCUACCUUUAUAACUACCCUGUUACGGCGUAGCGUUUGAUAGCCCAUAAGUAGGUCAAUCCACAUCUAGAAUACAUGCGACAAUCUCAGGUCUAAGGACAAAGCGUAUAUGUUGUUUAAAGAGAGAACUACUUCUCGUGUUGGGUCAGUCCUAGCACAUGUCUCCACAUGUGUCCACAUUAUUAGUUCAACAUCUCCAUGUCCAUGACUUGUGAAACAUAGUCAUCAACUAAUACAUGUGCUAGUCUAAUAUUCAUGUGUGUCCUCACAUGAACUCCGACUAGGGAUAACUUUAGAAUAACCAUACAAGUAAAGAGUUUCACAUACAAUUCACAUAAUUGCAAAUCAAUUCAAGUAGCCUUUAAUGGAUAUUCAAUGAACACAAUAUAUAAAUCAUGGAUACAAAUGGAAUAUCAUCAUCUCUAUGAUUGCCUCUAGGGCAUACCUCCAACACAUCUAUGGUUUCAAACAACUCCUAUACGUAAAUGCACAAGCAUGCUUAAAGAAGGCAUGCGCAAGUUUGGUAAAACACAGGGGAUUUAUGCAUCCGGGGCUUGCCUUCGAACAAGGAGGAGCGAAGCUGCUCUUCUGCUUGGGCGGCUUCGGCUUCUAGAGGCAGGAGCUUGGCUACACCUUCGUCUUCUGGCGCCGGGUGCAGCUCGUAGAAGCCGUCGGCGAGACGUAGCUCUACACGAAUGCAAUGCAUUGGUUAGCAUUUAGAUGGUUAUUUCAACAGCAACACUUGCAAGUUUGAGCCCAGAAACUUGCGGCAAGUUACAGGAGGGUGGGGAGGUUUGCUUGAGUUGGUGGAGAUUUAGAUAUAAGGGUCGGAUGGGAAGGAACUUAUGAUCUGACCCUUAAUCUAGAGGAAUAGAUGUGCUAGGGGUCCUCAGACUUAACGCUAAAGAGUCCCCAAGUUUUACACAUACACCCUCGGUUCAAAGAAAAAGAUACAGUCGAGCCCUCGGGCGAGGCGGAGAAAGGUCGGCGGAACAGAUAGGGUCAGGCGAGACGGAACCGGGGUCGGGCGGAUAGGAAGGGUCAGACGAGGCGAACAAGGGUCGGUAGCUUACCUUCAUCUUAUAGAUGAGGCUUGGGGUCGGGAAAGAACAGGCUUGGGCGGAAAGACUAAGGCUUGGGACAGCGGCGAGGAUGUCCGGUGGUACUCCGGCGGCGGCGGUGCUUCUUGUGGACCACAAGCAAGCUCUCGUGCAGCACGAGGAGCAGUGGCUGGUGGAUUAGGGAAGGUGGUGUUUGAGCGGAGAGGAGAGUUCCUCAGACUUAGGUGGUGGCGCUGUGAGCACGAACAGGGAGCAAGCGGGAGGGCAGCGAUGGCGAAGGGGAACUCUGGCAGGGCUCCGACAUUCCCUUUUUUAGCUGCGCGGAAGAGAGAAGGGGGAGCGGCGCAAGGACCGGGGAAGAAAAGAGGGAGUGCGCUGCCAGGGUGGCGAUUGAGCGACGAGGGCGGUGGAGCAGGACUUCGGGGAUGACACCGGCGGUCAUUGGGCACCGAUGACAGGGCGACGCAGGCGCGGGUUUGCCGGUGGUUGAGACUUGGUGGAGGCGGGUAUCGUUGUGCGGUGGAUCUGAUGGAAGUGACCGGGGAAACGGCGCUAGAAACGAGGGUGCACAGGUGAGAAGACAGGCGGCUGUGGUCGCGCGGCCGAGCGCGGAGCAACAGAUUGUCGGGGCGGAGCUUCUGACAAGGCAGAAAAGGAGCUGUCGCUGCCAUGGUCUGGGUUGGCGGAGGUGGAAUCCUCGCGUAGCGAGGACCGGGGCGGCGCGACUGUGGAGGGGCGACGGAAAAGAUGGGCGGCAUCGGGCUCUGCAGCCGGUAUCUGGCGAUGCGAUGAUGGGCGCGGGCGGUGAGGUGCUGCAGAAAGGGUAGCAGAGGAGCUUCCGCUGCGAUUGGGGAAGGGGGCGCGAGAAUCCAUCCGGUCGUGGCCGGCGAGGAGGUGGAGCGGCGAGCGUCAGAGGAGUUGAGCCACGCGGCUAGGGAACUCUGAAGCGGGCAUGCAACUCGAGUGCGCCUGUCAUGGGAUAUCUGGGAGAAAAGAUCUCGUGGGUCCACCGUGUUGGAGGUAUGCACUAGAGGAGAUCAUAGAGAUGAUGAUAUUCCAUUUGUAUCCAUGAUUUAUGUUGUGUUCCAUGAAUAUCCAUUAAAGGCUACUUGAAUUGAUUUGCAAAUUAUGUGAAUUAUGUGUGAAACUCUUUACUUGUAUGGUUAUUCUAAAGUUGUCCCUAGUCGGAGUUCAUGUGAGGACACACAUGAAUAUUAGACUAGCACAUGUAUUAGUUGAUGACUAUGUUUCACAAGUCAUGGACAUGGAGAUGUUGAACUAAUAAUGUGGAGACAUGUGCUAGGACUGACCCAACACGAAAAGUAGUUCUCUCUUUAAACAACAUAUACGCUUUGUCCUUAGACCUGAGAUUGUCGCAUGUAUUCUAGAUGUGGAUCGACCUACUUAGGGGCUAUCAAACGCUACGCCGUAACAGGGUAGUUAUAAAGAUAGCUUUCGGGUUUGUCAAGAACCAUGCUAUGAGACAUGGUCAAUCAAGAUAGGAUUUGCCCCUCUCUGAUUGAGAGUGAUAUCUCUAGGCCCCUCGAGUGAUCGGAUCCAAAAAUGCAUGGCCAUGCUACGUACGGUUAAGAGUUAACCUACAAAGGGAUUCCGAAUCACAGGAUCGAGAAAGAGUGGUCGGCUUGAAGCUAGACCAAAUAUCGUGAGGCAAAGGGAAUAGCAUGUAUAUUAUGUUGUGAUGGUUCGUCUGAUAUGAUCUUCGUGUGUGUAUAGGAGUUGGCACGUCUUGCUAGAGGCCGCUACCGACUAUUGGGCCGAGUAGGAGUACUCGGGCCAUGUCUAUACGUAUCCGAACCCAUAGGGUCACACACUUAAGGGGCUGGAAGCCCAAUUCGGAUCUGAUCCGAGUUGGAUUAGGUUUAGAAGUACUAAUGGGCCUCGGACCCAGAGGCCCUAGGGUUUACACCUUUUUGGUGAAACUCAUCUGCUGCGCCUCCCACGCCCUCGCCUGUUGCAACUCACGGAUCUAGUAGUCCGGCUUGCAACGCUUCCUCCCUGCACGUGUGAAUACCUUGGAGGUGUUGCGCCUGCAGCACUUGGACGAGCCGCCGACGAGCCACGACGAGCCGCCGACGAGCCACGACGAGCUGACGAUGAGCCGCGGCACGAGGGAGAUCUUGCUACACAUGGACGAGCUGCUGAGGAGUUGCUGGAUGUCGACGUGAUUGACUAUGUACGACUACGUUGAUCAACUUCGCUGCAUCGACGUGAAUCUACAUCUUCCGCACCAGUAGUGCGUCGAGUGGUAAUCCCAUGAUCCUUAUACGGCAGUUUUCCUGGUUUACACGGUAGAAUUUUUUUAAUUUGCGCUAGUGUAGCCUACCUCAUAUCCCAACACACCGGUCAGUCUCGGUGGUCCACGGCUCAGAUUGAAGGGAGGCAGUUUGGGAGGACUUAAGAAAGAUCCGGCAGUGGGUUGGGGUCGGCGGGGUCGGAACUGGGGAAAACACGGCGAGGGGUCGGAUCACAGGGGUCGGGACCGAACUGGAGGUUGAACACUUAGACUUGGUAAACUGAGAUAGGGGAUCAGGGACUCGGAUUAAGAUUAACGCGAAGGAUUUUAACCGAGGUCAUUACAGGUAGGGCGGCCACAGGCGACGGGCGAUGGGGGCGGGGCAGCGACAGGCAGGUAGGCGACGGGCGACGGGGACAGGGCGGCGAUGAGCGACGGGGGCGGGACGGCGAUGGGCGACGGGGCGGGGCGGCGACGGGCGGCACGGUGACGGGCGACAAGCGGCGGGACGGCCACGGGUGAUGGGCGGCACGACGACAGGGGCGGGGCAGCGACAGGCAGCACGGUGAGGCGGCGACGGGCGGCGGGGAGGCGGCGAGCGACAGGUGACGGGGGUGGGGAAAUAGUCACGAGUGGGAACUCGGGAGGAAUAGAACGAAAUGUUUUUUGUGUAACAAGUGGCAUUGGUGGGUAAUUACCCACCAACUCCACGAGGAGGUUCAAAAGAGGUUGUUUUGGAGUAGCAAAAGA